UAAUGUACGUCGUGGUGGGGAUGGCCAAUGCCAUCAAAUGUCUGUCGCAGUAGUGUCGCAGUUGUGUAGUAAAGAGUGUACAAAAUAAAAUAACGAAAAUGGUUGCGAUAUGUUGUAUCUGUAAGAUAGAGCAGAGAACUAUUACGGAUGUUAGUCAUCAUAGGUAAAACAGACAACUCGUAUAGAAUUAUGGAUGCAUCAACUACAAACACAAGGAUGUGAUACUUAACAAAUAAUAAGCAACAGCAACAUAUUUAUACUUUCUCACUUUACAUUGCAGUUGCUACAUAACACAAGUAAAUGUAUAUUGCAUUUAUCUACCUGACUUCGCAAUUAUACUGAACAAUAAUGUAACUGGUAUUUUGCGUUUGCUGGAUCAUUUGUAUUUUUCACAUUACAGUUUAUUCAUUCUUGUAAUAUAUACAUUUGUAAUAUAUAUAUAUUACAAAUGUAUAAGAAAUAAGGACCAAUGAUCUGUCCAUUUAAAAUUCCGCACCAUACAUUUAAAGACCAACGAUGUUGAUUGUCAAGACUGUAUAAUGAGAAAUAAAGAGAUCCAUUAAAAAAAAA